rnacentral:lncRNA from 1 species
UGUAGGCUGGCCGGAAAGGUCGCCGUCAUUACCGGGGGCGCGAGCGGCAUUGGCAAGGCGACCGCCACCGAGUUCGUCAAGAACGGCGCCAAGGUCGUGAUCGCCGACGUCCAGGACGACCUCGGCCACGCCGUUGCCGCGGAGCUCGGCCCGGACGCGGCGUGCUACACCCGCUGCGACGUCACCGACGAGGCGCAGGUCGCCGCGGCCGUGGACCUCGCGGUGGCCCGCCACGGGCAGCUCGACGUCAUGUUCAACAACGCCGGCAUCGGGGGCAACCCCGUGCCACCACCGCUCGGCGCCACGGACCUCGCCGACUUCGACCAGGUGAUGGCGACCAACGCCCGGGGCGUGCUGGCCGGGAUCAAGCACGCCGCGCGCGUCAUGGUCCCGCGCCGCAGCGGCAGCAUCAUCUGCACCUCGAGCGUCGCGGGCGUGGUGGGCCUUGGCAGUAUGGGCAACCUCGCGUACAGCACCUCGAAGGCGGCGGUCCUGGGCAUGGUGCGCACCGUGGCGGCGGAGAUGGCGCGCUCCGGGGUGCGCGUGAACGCCAUCUCUCCCGGCGCUAUCCCGACGCCGCUGGCGUUGAAAACCUUCGCCGUGUGGUUCCCCGGGAAGAGCGCCGAGGAGGUUCGGCGGAUCAUUGAGGAAGAAGUGAACCUGAUGGACGGGGUGGUGCUGGAGGAGGAGGACAUCGCGAGGGCGGCGCUGUACCUGGCGUCCGACGAGGCCAAGUACGUGAGCGGGCACAACCUCAUCGUUGACGGCGGUUUUGCGGUGACCGGAAGCGCCAAAUGAAAGUACCAGCUCCAGCACGCCGACGGAGUGAUUUAGUGGGCUAUUUUCAGAACAUAAACUGUGUUUUUUACUUCCUGUGCACACGAGAACUGUCUAACGCUCAUUCUGCGUUGGUGUGAUCCACGAAAAUAAUAGAACGUUGCUUUCCUAACAUCUUCCACGUGUCGGAAUUUUUUAGCCUACCAACUUCUUUACAUGAGCUCAUCGUGUUAGACCUCCCUCCGUGCACUAGCUCAAAGAUUAUCCACCUCAUAUAAGAGCAACCGCAAUGUUGUGAAAACACGAUGCCCCAUUUUUCUCUCUCCUGUUUGGAGCAUCGCUUUUUCCACCGUGACUACCGAUUUCUCUCUCCUGUUUGGAGCAUCGCUUUUUCCACCGUGACUACCGAUGCCCAGUUGCAAAAAGUCAGCAACUGGAAAUGUAUAGUCCUCGAUGCCUAUUCUCCUUGAUCAAUAAAAUAACAUUCUUCAGUCACAUGCCGUUGUCCGAUUGCGGCCACAUCAACGACAGAUGGCGAAGCGGUGGCCGGUGGUUGAAAUGAGAGGGAGUAUUUUAUUCGCGGGUAGGGUUCACAUUGUUUCGGCGCACACUGCGAUGAAAAUAAGUUAAAGCAUCAUAGUUGUGUGCAGUAUGAAAUGAUGUUUCAAGCCUCGGCUACACUGCUAUGCUCUAAGAGAUAGUAAAAAGUUUACCUCUCCAAUAAUUUGUCUAGCACAUUGUUCAAAGUAUUUUAGGUCUAACAACAUAUCUCCCAUCAAUAAAGGGUCCAACCCACUUUCUCUCUAUUAGCUAGCUCUUGAAAAAGAAAUAUUACACUCUCUCUCCUCAUAUUUUCUCUCUUCCAUGCAAGCAAAGUGAUAAGGUAGAUUCCUAUAAGCUAGCUGAAUCCUAUAAGCUAGCUGAAUUGGUAUUGUUGGAGGAGCCCUUCUGAACAUGUGAAAAGGAACACAGAAUAAUGUUCAGCCAUGUAACUGUGUACUAACUCAUGGAAGGUCCAAAACUGCCUAAAACGGACAACGGGGGAUGACAGCCUGAACACUAUUGAAGCUCGGCCGCGCUCUCGGUUGCCAACUGCAGUGACGGGGCAACGGUUAGUGUAGCAGCGGCACUGCUCCCAUGCGCACAGUGUGCUCUAUCUUUCUGCCGUCAUUGCCCUCGUGCGCGUCGUGGUGAUUUGGGCAUUGCAGUUGGAUGUGUCACCGCGCCAAUACGUGCCUUGAAAUCAACCAAAUGUCCGAGAUUGUUAGGUGGAUUUGUACGCAUUCAGCUCACCCAAAGUCCAAACCAUGUGAAACAAGGACAGUGACGGCUGAGAACGUUGAGGAGUUUGGGGGUGAACUAAUGAAAAUCGUGUUUACUAAUGUUGGGAGUAGAGCGGGGCAGAUGCGAAAAAUUGUUUGUCCAUAGUAUUUUUCUUAAUAAGCUUUUUAUAUGAAUAUACAUUAUAAUUGAACUAUACUGUCCCGUACCGUACUGCUUAAUAAAUUCUCAACUGUCAGUAAUUUUGAUUUUUUUUAUAGGUGUUCCAAUUACUAACUCUUCUUUCAAAGCGUUCCCCUACCACCACACCCGUGGGAUGGCCAAAAAAAAAAAUCAUGUGCAUGGUUAGACUAUUGAGCACUGAAUUAAUCAGUGUUACUCUCCCACCCAUGAAUAGGUGUCUGAACUGAGCAGCCCAGCUGGUAAUGUCGUUAUGGUGGAAUCUAUCCGUUCGAGACCUCGACUCGGUACUAUUUCUCAUAUUUUUCUAGAUUUAUUUUAGAAUUUAACCAUACGUUGUUCUUUCAGUGGUAGAUGACGUGCCCGUCGACAGCGAGACUCCAGAGGAGGUUUCGUCAAUCUCAAGGAUCUGCUGGCUCAGUCUCUCAGAGGAGCUCAUAGGGGUAGAAUUGUGUGCAUGUAUUCAUAAAGUUGAGCAUGCGAGUGUUUAUAUGAACGUGUAUGUUAGUAUUGUGUUUUGCCAAAAAAAAAGUGUUUACCUUUCCAACUAUGAAGUACUUUCUCAGAAAACUCCUUUACCCGUUUCCAAUCAGUAUUCGACAUAUUCCUUUAGCUUUGGUGGCGAGCACAAUUAUUGCUAGAUACAGAGGCCACUAAGGUUUGGACGUUAGGUCUUUCAGUUGAGGCGUAGCAAGCACAAAAAGGUCCUAUUAGGCCUUGGCUGGGUCCUUAGUGAACGAACUAACGAGUUACGAGCUUUAUCCAAUCCUAAAUAUGACUAGACUACGGCCUGGGCCGUCCAUCACCAAGUAUUAUUAUUCAACAGAGAAACUGAGAGCAUCUGGAAGGGUGACCGUACGUCGUCUCACACCGUGGUGCCGCAAACAUCUCAGUCGUUGACCAUUGACACUGAGGGUUUCCAUCGUUCUUUCAAAGCACGUGAAAAUACUAGCAAGUAGUAACAACGACCGCUGAGAAGGGGAAUGCUGACUGCUGUGCUGAGUGACAUGGCACACAACGACUCAGAACGGGACACCAAAAACCCAGCACCCUAACUAACCUUCAUAAGAAGGCUCGCCACGCGGAGCUGCAAUUAAACCAGCCGAAUCGUCAAGACGAAGAUCAUCUUGCUGCCUGUUUGUAGGAUUGUAUAUUCUCAACGAAUAAGCGAGUGGGCACCAUGUUCGUCAGAGCCUUGCAAUUGAUUGUCAGGUAGCUGGGGUUACAGUUUGGUUAAUUUUGAUUGAUAUUUACGAGAAGCUCUAAAACAUUUGAAUGGAUUUCGUGUGUCUUGCAGUAAGAAGAGCGGGGUCAUUGCGCCAGGAUCCUUGGGCUUCGUCAAUGCCUUCUCCUCGGCUUCGGCCUCUCAGAGUCAGAGGUUCACUCUCGUGGCACAACCUUCAUCUAGCUGCUAGUGCUCUCUGGCACCUCGUUGAUGGAAUUGAAUUGGCCUGUGCGGAGCUUCGAUUUCUUAUUCGUUCACGACUGACAGAGGAGCCUUUUUGUUGUGCGGGGUUGGUUUGUAGGCUGGCCGGAAAGGUCGCCGUCAUCACCGGGGGCGCGAGCGGCAUCGGCAAAGCGACCGCCGCCGAGUUCGUCAGGAACGGCGCCAAGGUCGUCAUCGCCGACGUCCAGGACGACCUCGGCCACGCCGUCGCCGCGGAGCUCGGCCCGGCCGCGGCGUGCUACACCCGCUGCGACGUCUCCGACGAGGCGCAGGUCGCCGCGGCCGUGGACCUCGCGGUGGCCCGCCACGGGCAGCUCG